GAUGAACGCUGGCGGUGUGCUUAAUACAUGCAAGUCGAACGAGGAGCUUUGUCUUCGGAUGAGAGUUUCCUAGUGGCGAACGGGUGAGUAACGCGUUGGUGACCUGCCCCGAAGAAAGGGAUAACAGUUCGAAAGGACUGCUAAUACCUUAUGUUAUCAGUUGGAUUAGAUGCCUUCUGAUUAAAAGGAGUAAUCCGCUUUGGGAGGGACCUGCGUCCCAUCAGCUUGUUGGUAGGGUAAUGGCCUACCAAGGCAAUGACGGGUAGGGGACCUGAGAGGGUGGCCCCCCACAAUGGCACUGAAACACGGGCCAUACACCUACGGGUGGCAGCAGUAGGGAAUAUUGGACAAUGGGCGAAAGCCUGAUCCAGCAACACCGCGUGCACGAUGACGGCCUUCGGGUUGUAAAGUGCUUUUAGAGGAGAUGAGAAAGGACAGUAUCCUCUGAAUAAGCCUCGGCGAACUACGUG
rnacentral:rRNA from 1 species